rnacentral:rRNA from 1 species
UGGGGGAUAUUGCACAAUGGGGGAAACCCUGAUGCAGCGACGCCGCGUGUAGGAAGACGGUCCUCUGGAUUGUAAACUACUGUCUUCGGGGACGAUAAUGACGGUACCCGAGGAGGAAGCACCGGCUAACUCCGUGCCAGCAGCCGCGGUAAUACAGAGGUCUCAAGCGUUGUUCGGAAUCACUGGGCGUAAAGAGUACGUAGGCUGUCAAGUAAGUCUGGCGUGAAAGGCAAGGGCUCAACCCUUGGACUGCGCCGGAUACUGCGUGACUAGAGUAAUGGAGGGGGAACCGGAAUUCUCGGUGUAGCAGUGAAAUGCGUAGAUAUUAGGAGGAACACCAGUGGCGAAGGCGGCCUGCUGGGCUUUUACUGACGCUGAGGCUCGAAAGUGUGGGUAACAAACA